rnacentral:misc_RNA from 1 species
AAAGUCGUAACAAGGUUUCCGUAGGUGAACCUGCGGAAGGAUCAUUACAGUGUUUCUCUGCCCUUACGGGUAGAAACGCCCACCCUUGCGUAUUAUAUCUUGUUGCUUUGGCAGGCCGCCCUCGGGCACCGGCUCCGGCUGGAUCGCGCCUGCCAGAGGACCCCAAACUCUGAAUGUUAGUGUCGUCUGAGUACUAUCUAAUAGUUAAAACUUUCAACAACGGAUCUCUUGGUUCUG